UUCUUCAAAAAAAUUUUUUUAAAAAAAUUAAUUAAUUAAAAGGAACUCGGCAAACUUAGUUGCUUCGCCUGUUUAUCAAAAACAUGGCUCUCUGCUUAUAUAAAUAUAGGGAGUCGAGCCUGCCCAGUGAAUUUUUUAACGGCCGCGGUACUCUGACCGUGCAAAGGUAGCAUAAUCAUUUGCCUUAUAAUUGAAGGCUAGUAUGAAUGGUUUGACGAGAGCAACGCUGUCUCUUUUUUAUUUCCAAGAACUUAACUUUUAGGUGAAGAGGCCUAAAUUUUAUUGAAGGACAAGAAGACCCUGUCGAGCUUAAAAGACAUUAUAGAAGUCUAUAUAUAUUUUAAAUAAAUUUUCUAUUAAGCUUUUUAGUUGGGGCGACUAAGGAACAAAAAAAGCUUCUUGUUAACGAUAAACAAUCAUGUUUAGAUCCGAUAAUAAUCGAUCGGGGGAAUUAGUUACCGCAGGGAUAACAGCAUAAUCUCUCUUGAGAGACCUAAUCGAAAGAAGGGGGUUGUGACCCUCGAUGUUGGACUAGAAUAUCCUAAAGGUG
rnacentral:rRNA from 1 species